rnacentral:lncRNA from 1 species
CGCGGGGCAGCCUGCAGGACUGGCGACGCAGACGGGCAGAUCAGAAGCACAUCUGGUCUUCAGGAAAGCCGCCAAGGUCCGAGGCCGGGGCUGCUCACUGGCCGGCUUCCGUCUGCACCGAGCAGACUGUGCUGGGCACUCUGUCCGUCCAUCACCGAGGCGUGACUCAGGGUGCACCAACGCUCCAGUUACUUCUCUCUCCCCAUUCUGCAGAAGCAAGUCUGUGAGACCCGCGGCCGAGGGCUCCGUGCCAGGGAAGAUUUAGCCCUCUCUCUGGCAGACUCUGGCUUGCCUUAAAAAAAAAGCAACCCAGGGCUGCUGCCUGAAGGAAUCACAUGCUGUCGGGCAUUAAUCAGCUCUUCAGAAAACCCACCAAGGACACACUCUGGUUCAAGGAGGCAGCUUUGAACUCCAGCUGCCGCAGCUGGGCAACCAUUUGGUAGUGGAAAAAAAUCAACAGCAAGAGAAGGGAGGCCGUGGGGCUGAGGAUAUUUCUGAACGUUCCCCAGGAGGCAUUAGCAGAAACGACGUUUCUCUCUAAUCUUCUCUCUUCCUUCUGCAUGGUGCUCCCUCGGAACAGAAAUACCAAGAACAGGAAUGCGGGACCCCAAGGCUUCUCCCGAGAUCGGAUUUGGCGGCGGACUCUGCAUCAGGAUCCAGACGUCGCCCCAUGGAUGUCAAGCGGUCUGCUAGGCAAUGCUACCGUCCCGGUUACCCGGAGCGAGGUCAGACGUCCCAGGCACGGCCCUCCACGCGGGGGUCCACUGCAAGCCGGGGAGUCCCCAGGACCCCGCAGUUCUGGCAAGCCAGCCGGCUACAAGUCCGGGGACCCCCGUGACCCCAUCAGGUUUGAUAGUUUACUAGAACAAUUCGCAGAACACAAGAAGCCAUUAUACUUUGGAUUACAGCAUAUUAGCAAGGUUACGAGUCAGGACCAGUGACAGGAAGAAGCGGACUGGGCAUUUCCGGGAGGCUCUGUCCUCUCUGGCGCAGCGAGGCCCGAGCCUUGGGUCGGGGGUCCAGGAGAGUCACAUCACACAGACAGCACGGAUGGGAUCGGUGGGCUUGAGCGUGAACCAGUUCCUAUCACCUCCCCUCCCUGAGGUUGGGCUGCCAUCAUGGGGCUCAAAACCCCAGCGCUCUCACCCCGAGACUGGUCUUCCAGGUGUGACCAGCGCCAGGCCUGAAUCACCUCAUUAGCAUAAUCUCAGGUGUGGUGCAAGGACCCACCUCAAGUAGCAGAUGCCCCUAUUGCCCAGGAAAUCUCAAUCAUUUGGAGGGUGUUUCCCAGGAACCAGGGACAGAGGCCAGCCCAAUCUUGGCUGGGCGAAGAGGUUCAAGCCCCGAGCUCAGGGGCUGCAAUACCUCACUCUUCUCUCUGCCCCUUUUCUCUCCCAGGACCCUGAGAAGAAAGAGAGGGACCUGUGUUUUCCCAUGGUGCCAGGCGCCUUUGAGGUUCUCUGGCAGGCCCAGCCUCCCUGUCCCUAACUUUCCACUCCCCACAAUCAUCCCCUGAGCACAUGGGUCACCCCCAAGUCAGGCCUGCUGCAUGGUGCUUGGGGCCCAUGCUCUUGCCUCAGUCACCAUGGGGUCCCAUAAUCAGCCAUGACCCCAGGCUCUCUCGCACUUGUCCCUGAUUCCCAGACUUGUCCUGAAACCCACUGUCACUGGUCCUCUGAGUCCCACCGCUCUCCAAGCCUUUCUCAACGGCUUUUCUCCGCUGGGUUGCCCUCACCUGCCCCAAAGCAAGUGACUUCCUUGCUCACCUCGGAACCUGGGGUCACCCCAGCAGCCCUGAGCCCCAUGACCUUCCAUGUGGACGGUGCCCACGAGUGAUUCCCAGUGAAUUAGCAGAUGGUUUUACCUUGUAGACAAUCACAUCUUUUAUUCUAAAAAACCUCCUGGUCUUUCUGGAACUCCGUGAAAAUGUCUACCUCAGUG